UUGCUUCAGUAGCACAUAUACGAAAACUUAAAUGAUACAGAAAAGAUUAGCAAAGCCCCUGUACAAGGAUGACAUGCAAAUUCAUGAAGCAUUCCUAUUUGAA
ensembl:snRNA U6 U6 spliceosomal RNA